UUUUUGUAAAUUUCUGAGAAAUAUAGACAUUAAUAGCUUUCUAAAAAGGUAAAACUCGUAUUUUUCCUUGAAGUGAUUGAUUUUAUAUGAUUUUCCAAAGUUAGGAUUCAAAUGUGUAUGUGUCUUGAUUAAACUUGUGAUUGGUAGUUAAUUGAGAUCCUACACUACUAAACUUGAAUUAAGGUUUUAUUGUUCUAAUUACCUAUUGAGGAUUAUUGAUUACUAAAGCUUGUUAAUAUGAUAGUGAUGGACAUAAUUAUGUUUAUAUGAUUAAUUACUUUGGAAUUUUGUGUUUUACAUGUAUGGUUAGUUGUAAACUGAUCUCUAUGGAAUGGAUUUGUUUACUUCUAAACUUUCUCAAGCAGAGGAAUUCUUAUAAGAUAGGAAUAUUAGUUUAUACGUUCUUAAAGUUCAUAGAGUCAGUAUAUUGAUUAGUUUAGUUGAUGCAACCUUAGCAGUUUAUUGGGAUGCUAUUUAUAGCUAAUUCUUCUUAUCUAGUUAUCCAAUCUUAUUUUAGAAUCUUGCUAUUAUGAAGGUGACAGUAGCAAUGAUAGAUAAGUGAGCAAGAGUUUCUACAUCGUUAAGCGUAUCAGGUGGGCUUUCUAAACUCAUAAUUUGAAGUGCGCACUAUUUAAUUAUGUUAUUAUAUGAAUGAAGUUAUAUUAAAGUUAUUGACUUGCCAAAUUAUUUUAAGAGCUUGUAUGUUACCAUCUACGAGAGAUAGACGAUAUCGGCCCUAUGCUGAAGCGAGAUGUCAGUAAGGGUUUGUGCACAUAGUUGUGACCGUGAGUCAUCGAGCGGGUUGGCCGGUCACUGUGAUCGGGAGCCUUCGGGCCGAUCACUGUGUUUGAGAAGGAGGCCUACUUCUCAACACAAGGUUACAUGAUGCGUAGUUAUGGUACAUACAUGUUAAUUGUCU
rnacentral:lncRNA from 1 species